GCUACAUAGAGGGUGGUGCGGCUAGCGGUGGGAAACGUAUCAGUUCUUCCGUAAGUAUAUAUAUGUAUUUUUAUAUUUACAUAUGUAUAUACACAUAUACAAAUAUGCUGGCACACGUGUGCAUUCACACAUGCCCAAUUUAUUCCUCAGUCAUACACAAAGCUGGAAUCCACCACUGAACUUUUCAGAGAGAAUCCAUACUUGGACACUUAGCCACAUCAACAUCAGGAAAAGAAAAAGAGCCAAGGUCCACGUAGCAGAAGAUGCUUUUUCUGACUGAUGGAGAGGCUUGGAACUGAAUGAGUGUAAGUACCAUUUUUUCCUCAGGAAAGAUAGCCUAGA
rnacentral:lncRNA from 1 species